AGACUAGGAAUGUGGAAACUCCCUGUCUUUUUAACCCUGCUGGAGGUCUUGGCAAAGGCACAAGAGUGCAGAAAUGUUAGAGAGAGUGUUAGUAUCAUCUGUAUGACUGAUGUCACGUGUCGGCCAGGGGAAGGAGACCAGAGGAAACCUGAAGCGGGAAUGUGUGAUCCCAUGUCCUUAACACAACAAAUCAUUUGAUAUCAGAAAACUCAGCCUUGUUAAAGUUUCACUUACUCCUCCUUCUGCUAUGACUGCGUGGUAGCAAAGUGUGUACGAAAGGAGCAAUCAAAUACACUCUGACAGCGUCCCAGCUUGAUUGGAUCAUUCUGGGAGUCA